rnacentral:rRNA from 1 species
CCUACGGGUGGCUGCAGUGGGGAAUAUUGGACAAUGGGCGAAAGCCUGAUCCAGCCAUGCCGCGUGUGUGAAGAAGGCCUUCGGGUUGUAAAGCACUUUCAGUGGGGAAGAAAGCCUUGGGGCUAAUACCCUCGAGGAAGGACAUCACCCACAGAAGAAGCACCGGCUAACUCCGUGCCAGCAGCCGCGGUAAUACGGAGGGUGCGAGCGUUAAUCGGAAUUACUGGGCGUAAAGCGCGCGUAGGCGGUCUGAUAAGCCGGUUGUGAAAGCCCCGGGCUCAACCUGGGAACGGCAUCCGGAACUGUCAGGCUAGAGUGCAGGAGAGGAAGGUAGAAUUCCCGGUGUAGCGGUGAAAUGCGUAGAGAUCGGGAGGAAUACCAGUGGCGAAGGCGGCCUUCUGGACUGACACUGACGCUGAGGUGCGAAAGCGUGGGUAGCAAACAGGAUUAGAUACCCGUGUAGUC